CCUACGGGUGGCACCAGUGGGGAAUCUUGGGCAAUGGGCGCAAGCCUGACCCAGCGACGCCGCGUGUGGGAAGAAGGCCUUCGGGUCGUAAACCACUGUCAGGAGGGAAGAAAAGCAGUCGCCGAACAGGCGGCUGUCUUGACGGUACCUCCAGGAGGAAGCACCGGCCAACUCCGUGCCAGCGGCCGCGGUAAUACGGAGGGUGCAAGCGUUAUUCGGAAUCACUGGGCGUAAAGGGCGCGUAGGCGGCUGCGCAAGUCAGAUGUGAAAGCCCUCGGCUCACCCGGGGAACUGCAUCUGAAACUGCGUAGCUAGAGUUCGGGAGAGGGCGGCGGAAUUCCCGGUGUAGGGGUGAAAUCCGUAGAUAUCGGGAAGAACACCAGAGGCGAAGGCGGCCGCCUGGACCGAAACUGACGCUGAGGCGCGAAAGCGUGGGUAGCAAACAGGAUUAGAUACCCUGGUAGUC
rnacentral:rRNA from 1 species